rnacentral:rRNA from 1 species
CUCGGAAGGCGCAGAUAGUGGCGGACGGGUGAGUAACGCGUGAGGACAUGUCUGCAGGAGGGGGAUAACGUUUGGAAACGGACGCUAAGACCCCGUAAGCCGGGAGGUAAAAGUGGCGAAAGCCAGCCUGUGGAGUGACUCGCGUCCUAUCAGCUAGUUGGCGGGGUGAAGGCCCACCAAGGCGAUGACGGGUAGCCGACCUGAGAGGGUGGCCGGCCACACUGGAACUUUUUUUCGUUCCAGACUCCUACGGGAGGCAGCAGUGGGGAAUAUUGGGCAAUGGGCGGAAGCCGGACCCAGCGACGCCGCGUGGGGGAAGAAGUCUUUCGGGAUGUAAACCCUUGUUGUACGGGACGAAGGAA